UCGGGGGAAGGCUUCCAGCUCGACCCCCGGGCUCUCCGGGGCAGGCUUCCAGAUCGUCCCCCGGGCUCUCCGGGGAAGGCUUCCAUCUCGUCCCCCUGGCUCUCCGGGGAAGGCUUCCAGGUGCUCCCCCGGGCUCUCCGGGGAAGGCUUCCAGGCUCUCCCCCGGGCUCUCCGGGGAAGGCUACCAGGUCGUCCCCCGGGCUCUCCGGGG